GAGAUUCUCCAUCCAAAAUAGAAAAAAAAAGUUCUAGGGUUUUCUCUGCUACAAAGACUCUGUUUUUAUCUAAUAUUUAUAGCUGUUUUUCUACUUUUCUUGCAAAAACCCAGCUGGGUUUUGCUAAAUAUAAGCUUAAUCUUUGUUUGGGCGGAGUUUUUGAGGUGGGUUUUUCUUCUUUCUUCGUUUUGCGAUGCAAUCCGAUCUUUA
rnacentral:misc_RNA from 1 species